rnacentral:rRNA from 1 species
UACGAAGGGGGCUAGCGUUGUUCGGAAUCACUGGGCGUAAAGCGCACGUAGGCGGAUCUUUAAGUCAGGGGUGAAAUCCCGAGGCUCAACCUCGGAACUGCCUUUGAUACUGGGGAUCUCGAGUCCGGGAGAGGCGAGUGGAAUUCCCGGUGUAGCGGUGAAAUGCGCAGAUAUCGGGAGGAACACCAAUGGCGAAGGCAGCUCGCUGGGACGGUACUGACGCUGAGACGCGAAAGCGUGGGGAGCAAACAGG